rnacentral:rRNA from 1 species
GACGAACGCUGGCGGCGUGCUUAACACAUGCAAGUCGAACGGAGUGGCGAACGGGUGAGUAACGCGUAAUCAACCUGCCCUUCAGGGGGGGAUAACAGUUGGAAACGACUGCUAAUACCGCAUACUGAAGGGGGGGAUGGCGUCGGAUUAGCUAGUUGGGGGGGUAACGGCCCACCAAGGGGAUGGUCAGCCGCCGGUCGGGUGGGAUUAACGGCCACAUUGGGACUGGGACACGGCCCAGACUCCUACGGGAGGCAGCAGUGGGGAAUCUUCCGCAAUGGACGAAAGUCUGACGGAGCAACGCCGCGUGGGUGAUGACGGCCUUCGGGUUGUAAAGCUCUGUUAAUCGGGACGCGGUACCGGAAUAGAAAGCCACGGCUAACUACGUGCCAGCAGCCGCGGUAAUAC